rnacentral:tRNA from 1 species
GGCUCCGUAGUUCAAUGGAUAGAAUGAGGGUUUCCGGUACCCUUGAUGAGCGUUCGAUUCGCUCCGGAGCUA